rnacentral:rRNA from 1 species
UACGUAGGCAGCAAGCGUUGUUCGGAUUUACUGGGCGUAAAGGGUGUGUAGGCGGUUGGAUAAGUGUGGUGUGAAAUCUCCCGGCUUAACUGGGAGGGUGCGCUACAAACUGUCUGACUAGAGUAUGGGAUGGGAGAGUGGAAUUCCUGGUGUAGCGGUGAAAUGCGUAGAUAUCAGGAGGAACACCGGUGGUGUAGACGGCUCUCUGGACCAUUACUGACGCUGAGACACGAAAGCGUGGGUAGCAAACAGG